AGUGAACGCUGGCGGUAGGCCUAACACAUGCAAGUCGAACGGCAGCACAGUAAGAGCUUGCUCUUACGGGUGGCGAGUGGCGGACGGGUGAGGAAUACAUCGGAAUCUACUUUUUCGUGGGGGAUAACGUAGGGAAACUUACGCUAAUACCGCAUACGACCUACGGGUGAAAGCAGGGGAUCUUCGGACCUUGCGCGAUUGAAUGAGCCGAUGUCGGAUUAGCUAGUUGGCGGGGUAAAGGCCCACCAAGGCGACGAUCCGUAGCUGGUCUGAGAGGAUGAUGCGCCACAGUGGAACUGAGAGACGGUACAGACGCCUACGGGAGGCAGCAGUGGGGAAUAUUGGAAGAUGGGCGAAAGCCUGAUCCAGCCAUACCGCGUGGAUGAAGAAAGCCUACGGGUUGUAAAGCCCUUUUGUUGGGAAAGAAGAGCAGCAGGUUAAUACCCCGCUGUUCUGACGGUACCCAAAGAAGAAGCACCGGCUAACUUCGU
rnacentral:rRNA from 1 species